rnacentral:lncRNA from 1 species
UCAAAAACUAAAAUGACCAAAAUAGCACAUUUCUAAGUUUAUCCAUUGAAAACUUUAUUCUUUUUAUUUUUCAAAAUUUGAAAUCUUAUCCCCAAAACCUCAUUUCUCAACUCUAAACCCUAAACCCUAAACUCUAAACCCUAAACCCUAAACUCUAAACCCUAAACUCAAAACCCUAAACUCUAAACCCUAAACUCUAAACCCUAAACCCUAAACCCUAAAUCCUAAACCCCACCAUUUAACUCUAAACCCUAAGUUUGUGACUUUUGAUAAAACAUUAAGUGCUAUUUUAG